rnacentral:pre_miRNA from 1 species
AUAUAAAUCACCGAGGGAACUUAAAAUGCAGAUUCUGCAUUAAGUCUGGGACAGAACUUGAGACUCUAUAUUUCUAACAAGUGUCCCUGUGGUGCCCAU